rnacentral:rRNA from 1 species
GGUUGUCUAGCGGUCUAGCAACUCGAGGUAACCGCCCUAAAGCGGCAGAAGCAAAGAGAAAGAAGCGCCUGCUUGUGCGCGGUCCCCGACGCGACAUGCUAACCGCGAACGGCGGCCGGCAUGCGCUCGUUCUGGGAUCAGGAACACUCCUAUACGCAAUCCCCGAACAUCGAGUCAACCAAUCUCGCGCGCGAACUAUUCGCACUCCAGCCUUCAAGUUCAGAAGGGUCCGGGUGGUGAAAGUAGCUCACAUCCGUAAGCAGAAGACCAAUGCCCCGGUAUCGAGUCGACCCUCUCGCGCACGAAACGUUCGUACUCCAGCAGCCAAGCUAGGGCAGACCGAGGUGGUCUACCAAACUAACGGCCGCGUCGAACAUGCAUCCAAGACGUGGAUUUAGCAGGCGCUUUGUAGUGAAGCGUGGGUGAUCAGGCCUACCUGUCACUCCAACGCACUAAAGACUGUAGCAUUUCUCCUCUAGCUAGGCUCAACCUAGCACGUCGUUUAGCAACGCGCUCGGAAGUAAUAGAGGCCCAGUAAAGCCGCGAGCGAAAGUUGGCACUCCAACCGGCGCUCAACAUUUACUAGGAAAAUCGCUUCGAACUGGCGGAGCGAUAGCCUUGCUAGAAUGCUUCGUUCGACCAGAAAGAUCAGUUACAGGCCGACGCUGUUAGCGCAAGUAGCUCCUGCGCACGGAAGUUACCGUCAACGCGUCUGUUGUAAGACGGCUCACACACCUGUAACUAUUACUCUCG